GUAAGUCCCACAGUCUACUGGGCUACUUCCUUCUCACUGUUUAAAUACAGUUGUUUAUAUUUUCAUCAUGUGACAUUAACAACAUAAUUGGCAUCUUUAUCAAUAUUUCACUGAAGUAAUUAGCCUCAGAACAGCCUAGCAUCCCGAAGAUCCCAUCAGAACAUCUUCUUCACAUAAGGUCACAAUACUGGGGCAGAGACCUCUCCUGUGACUUCUGUGCUCAGAUCAACUCACUGAAUCAAUCAUACUUUGAAGACAAUGAAGGAGCUUUCUCUGAGGAAGAAGCCACAAACCUCAAACAAGUUGCUCAUGGGUGGACCCUGGGAAACAGGUUGAUGAAUGUUUCAGGAAUGGCAGAAGAAAGAAAUUAAGA
ensembl:lncRNA